GAGAGAGGGGAGGGGGUAGGGGGUGGAAAUUGAUCUAGGGGACCACUUUUAGCCUCCUUUAGCCCAUUUCAGCACCCCUUGGAGGGGCUAAUGGAUUAUGGGGGCCUAAAGUUUAGCCCCUCCAUUUUAGCCCUGGUGUUUGAAGGAGAGGGCUAAAAUCUAGCUAAAAUGGUUUAGCCCCCCCCUCCCAAACACCCCCCGAGGAGCACGAUUUCAAUGAUUGUGCUCUUUGUGUAGGAUCUAGAAGCCACUGACUUCCCAUAAUACUGAGCACCUCCGUCAGGGUGAAGUUCUGGUGUCAAUAGAAGACAAUCAGCCCCUGGAUGGUCCAACUCCAGUUCGAUCUCCACUACGUGCAUUUGAAGCGUGAACUCAACUAGAUGGAAUGAAGUGGCAGUGUCUACUUCAGGGGCCAAAGAGGCAAGUUCAGCUUGAACCAGGUGAAGCUGCAAGCCAGCAAGCACUACUGCGUUCGACACGCAGAAUCAAAGUGCAGGGAAGGUUGGGAAAGUAAAGAGACAUCAAUUCAAACGAUGUGCCUCCUGUACCCGAUGGUGGAAUGCUUGAACUACCGCCCAGGCAAUUAUAUCACAGAAUCGUUUUGGCCUUAGAGACCAAAACACAAAAAGAAAAAAACAAUACUCCCUCCAUUCCAAAUUAUAAGUCAUUCCAAGAAUCUUGGAGAGUCAAAGCAUCUCAAGUUUGACCAAAAUUAUAC